rnacentral:rRNA from 1 species
UACGUAGGUGGCAAGCGUUGUCCGGAUUUAUUGGGCUUAAAGGGUGCGUAGGUGGUCUAUUAAGUCAGUGCUGAAAUAUCCCGGCUUAACCGGGAGGGUGGCAUUGAUACUGAUGGACUUGAAUGGAGUCGAGGUAGGCGGAAUUGACGGUGUAGCGGUGAAAUGCUUAGAUAUCGUCAAGAACACCUAUUGCGUAGGCAGCUUACUAGGCUCUAAUUGACACUGAGGCACGAAAGUGUGGGGAUCAAACAGG